CUCUGCAACCCGAGUACAUGAAGCUGGAAUCNCUAGUAAUCGCGAAUCAGAAUGUCGCGGUGAAUACGUUCCCGGGUCUUGUACACACCGCCCGUCACACCAUGGGAGAUGGAUAUGCCCAAAGUCAGUGACCUAACCGCAAGGGAGGAGCUGCCUAAGGUGGAGCCAUUAACUGGGGUGAAGUCGUAACAAGGUACC
rnacentral:rRNA from 1 species